AUUGCUUCUCAGCCUUUUGGCUAAGAUCAAAUGCAGUAUCUGUUCUUAUCAGUUAGAUAUCUGAUAUGUUCUCUGUUUGAGAACGUGGAUUUUUGGACCUGGGGGUUGGAAAAGGGGCUAACAUUUCAAAUAAAUA
rnacentral:snRNA from 1 species